UACGAAGGGGGGCUAGCGUUGCUCGGAAUCACUGGGCGUAAAGGGUGCGUAGGCGGGUUUUUAAGUCAGAGGUGAAAUCCUGGAGCUCAACUCCAGAACUGCCUUUGAUACUGAAAGUCUUGAGUAUGGGAGAGGUGAGUGGAACUGCGAGUGUAGAGGUGAAAUUCGUAGAUAUUCGCAAGAACACCAGUGGCGAAGGCGGCUCACUGGCCCAUAACUGACGCUGAGGCACGAAAGCGUGGGGAGCAAACAGGG
rnacentral:rRNA from 1 species